rnacentral:rRNA from 1 species
AACGAUGAUGCCCAGCUUGCUGGGUGGAUUAGUGGCGAACGGGUGAGUAAUACGUGAGUAACCUGCCCUUGACUCUGGGAUAAGCCUGGGAAACUGGGUCUAAUACUGGAUACUACCUNNCACCGCAUGGUGGGUGGUGGAAAGGGUUUUACUGGUUUUGGAUGGGCUCACGGCCUAUCAGCUUGUUGGUGGGGUAAUGGCUCACCAAGGCGACGACGGGUAGCCGGCCUGAGAGGGUGACCGGCCACACUGGGACUGAGACACGGCCCAGACUCCUACGGGAGGCAGCAGUGGGGAAUAUUGCACAAUGGGCGGAAGCCUGAUGCAGCGACGCCGCGUGAGGGAUGACGGCCUUCGGGUUGUAAACCUCUUUCAGUAGGGAAGAAGCGAGAGUGACGGUACCUGCAGAAGAAGCGCCGGCUAACUACGUGCCAGCAGCCGCGGUAAUACGUAGGGCGCAAGCGUUGUCCGGAAUUAUUGGGCGUAAAGAGCUCGUAGGCGGUUUGUCGCGUCUGCUGUGAAAGCCCGGGGCUCAACCCCGGGUCUGCAGUGGGUACGGGCAGACUAGAGUGCAGUAGGGGAGACUGGAAUUCCUGGUGUAGCGGUGAAAUGCGCAGAUAUCAGGAGGAACACCGAUGGCGAAGGCAGGUCUCUGGGCUGUUACUGACGCUGAGGAGCGAAAGCAUGGGGAGCGAACAGGAUUAGAUACCCUGGUAGUCCAUGCCG